GACGAACGCUGGCGGCGUGCUUAACACAUGCAAGUCGAACGGAAAGGCCCUGCUUUUGUGGGGUGCUCGAGUGGCGAACGGGUGAGUAACACGUGAGUAACCUGCCCUUGACUUUGGGAUAACUUCAGGAAACUGGGGCUAAUACCGGAUAGGAGCUCCUGCUGCAUGGUGGGGGUUGGAAAGUUUCGGCGGUUGGGGAUGGACUCGCGGCUUAUCAGCUUGUUGGUGGGGUAGUGGCUUAUCAAGGCUUUGACGGGUAGCCGGCCUGAGAGGGUGACCGGCCACAUUGGGACUGAGAUACGGCCCAGACUCCUACGGGAGGCAGCAGUGGGGAAUAUUGCACAGUGGGCGGAAGCCUGAUGCAGCAACGCCGCGUGCGGGAUGACGGCCUUCGGGUUGUAAACCGCUUUCGCCUGUGACGAAGCGUGAGUGACGGUAAUGGGUAAAGAAGCACCGGCUAACUACGUG
rnacentral:rRNA from 1 species